rnacentral:rRNA from 1 species
AUACGGAGGGGGCUAGCGUUGUUCGGAAUUACUGGGCGUAAAGCGCGCGUAGGCGGUUUUCCAAGUUGGGGGUGAAAUCCCGAGGCUCAACCUCGGAACUGCACCCGAUACUGCCUGGCUGGAGUCCCGGAGAGGAUGGCGGAAUUUCCGGUGUAGAGGUGAAAUUCGUAGAUAUCGGGAAGAACACCAGUGGCGAAGGCGGCCACCUGGCCCGGUACUGACGCUGAGGUGCGAAAGCGUGGGGAGCAAACAGGAUUAGAAACCCGAGUAGUCC